ACUCCUACGGGAGGCAGCAGUGGGGAAUAUUGGACAAUGGGCGAAAGCCUGAUCCAGCCAUGCCGCGUGUGUGAAGAAGGUCUUCGGAUUGUAAAGCACUUUAAGUUGGGAGGAAGGGCAGUUACCUAAUACGUAAUUGUUUGACGUUACCGACAGAAUAAGCACCGGCUAACUCUGUGCCAGCAGCCGCGGUAAUACAGAGGGUGCAAGCGUUAAUCGGAAUUACUGGGCGUAAAGCGCGCGUAGGUGGUUUGUUAAGUUGGAUGUGAAAUCCCCGGGCUCAACCUGGGAACUGCAUUCAAAACUGACUGACUAGAGUAUGGUAGAGGGUGGUGGAAUUUCCUGUGUAGCGGUGAAAUGCGUAGAUAUAGGAAGGAACACCAGUGGCGAAGGCGACCACCUGGACUAAUACUGACACUGAGGUGCGAAAGCGUGGGAGCAAACAGGAUUAGAUACCCUGGUAGCGACUGA
rnacentral:rRNA from 1 species